rnacentral:rRNA from 43 species
UUGACCUCGGAUUAGGUAGGAAUACCCGCUGAACUUAAGCAUAUCAAUAAGCGGAGGA